rnacentral:rRNA from 1 species
AGAGUUUGAUCAUGGCUCAGGAUGAACGCUAGCGGCAGGCCUAAUACAUGCAAGUCGAACGGUAAGUAGUGUAGCAAUACAUUACCAAGAGUGACGUACGGGUGCGUAACACGUAUGCAACCUACCCUUUACAGGCGGAUAGCUCGGGGAAACCCGAAUUAACCCGCCGUGGUAUAAUUGAGUGGCAUCACUUAAUUAUUAAAACUCCGGUGGUAAAGGAUGGGCAUGCGUCUGAUUAGUUAGUUGGCGGUGUAACGGACCACCAAGACGAUGAUCAGUAGGGGAACUGAGAGGUUGAUCCCCCACACUGGCACUGAGAUACGGGCCAGACUCCUACGGGAGGCAGCAGUAGGGAAUAUUGGUCAAUGGAUGCAAGUCUGAACCAGCCAUGCCGCGUGCAGGAAGAAGGCCUUCUGGGUUGUAAACUGCUUUUGCCAGGGGAUAAAAUGGGCAUGCGUGCCUAAUUGAAGGUACCUGGUGAAUAAGCCACGGCUAACUACGUGCCAGCAGCCGCGGUAAUACGUAGGUGGCAAGCGUUGUCCGGAUUUAUUGGGUUUAAAGGGUGCGUAGGCGGUCUUUUAAGUCAGUGCUGAAAUACUCCAGCUUAACUGGAGGGGUGGCAUUGAUACUGGAAGACUUGAGUGUAGUCGAGGUAGGCGGAAUUGACGGUGUAGCGGUGAAAUGCUUAGAUAUCGUCAAGAACACCGAUAGUGAAGACAGCUUACUAGACUGUAACUGACGCUGAGGCACGAAAGUGUGGGGAUCAAACAGGAUUAGAUACCCUAGUAGUCC